AUUGAACGCUGGCGGCAGGCCUAACACAUGCAAGUCGAACGAGUGGCGGACGGGUGAGUAAUGUCUGGGAAACUGCCUGAUGGAGGGGGAUAACUACUGGAAACGGUAGCUAAUACCGCAUACCAUCGGAUGUGCCCAGAUGGGAUUAGCUAGUAGGUGGGGUAAAGGCUCACCUAGGCGACGAUCCCUAGCUGGUCUGAGAGGAUGACCAGGCACACUGGAACUGAGACACGGUCCAGACUCCUACGGGAGGCAGCAGUGGGGAAUAUUGCACAAUGGGCGCAAGCCUGAUGCAGCCAUGCCGCGUGUAUGAAGAAGGCUUUCGGGUUGUAAAGCACUGUCAGCAGAGAGGCGGUACCUAAAGAAGAAGCAACGGCUAACUCCGUGCCAGCCGCCGCGGUAAUAC
rnacentral:rRNA from 1 species